rnacentral:rRNA from 1 species
CAAGUCGAACGGUCUCUUCGGAGGCAGUGGCAGACGGGUGAGUAAUGCAUGGGAAUCUACCGUUCUCUACGGAAUAACUCAGGGAAACUUGUGCUAAUACCGUAUACGCCCGAAAGGGGAAAGAUUUAUCGGAGAAUGAUGAGCCCAUGUUGGAUUAGCUAGUUGGUAGGGUAAAGGCCUACCAAGGCGACGAUCCAUAGCUGGUCUGAGAGGAUGAUCAGCCACACUGGGACUGAGACACGGCCCAGACUCCUACGGGAGGCAGCAGUGGGGAAUAUUGGACAAUGGGCGCAAGCCUGAUCCAGCCAUGCCGCGUGAGUGAUGAAGGCCCUAGGGUUGUAAAGCUCUUUCACCGGUGAAGAUAAUGACGGUAACCGGAGAAGAAGCCCCGGCUAACUUCGUGCCAGC